CCCCGAUCGGAGCAUGUGGUUUAAUUCGAAGCAACGCGAGAACCUUACCUGGUCUUGACAUCCACAGAACUUUCCAGAGAUGGCUUGGUGCCUUCGGGAACUGUGAGACAGGUGCUGCAUGGCUGUCGUCAGCUCGUGUCGUGAGAUGUUGGGUUAAGUCCCGCAACGAGCGCAACCCUUGUCCUUAGUUGCCAGCACUUUGUGGGGGGCUCUCUAGGGAAACGGCCGGGAACAACCGGAAGAAGGGGGGGAAUAACUUCAAUUCUUUUGGCCCUUUACACCCGGGGUUACACCCGUGUUACAUGGCAUAAAACAAGGGGUUGCCACCCCCCGGGGUGGACCUACCCUCAAAAAUCUGUUCUAAUCCGGAAUCGAAUUCGCAACCUCACCCGCGUAAAUCGGAAAUCUCUUAAAUCGGGAAUCAAAAUGCCGCGGUAAAUACUUUCCCGGCCUUUGCACCCCCCCCCCUCAAA
rnacentral:rRNA from 1 species